ensembl:snoRNA SNORA70 Small nucleolar RNA SNORA70
CUGUGAAGAAAGAAAAUUUCUCUUUUCUUUGUUGGGGCCCUGUGUGCAGUGGCUGCAAACAGCAGCCUGCCAGGUGAUGUCUGCAGUUUGUCGCUUGUCUGGGUUGCCCUAGGGGAUAUUGGAGACAACC